rnacentral:rRNA from 1 species
AUUGAACGCUGGCGGCAGGCCUAACACAUGCAAGUCGAGCGCGCGGCGGACGCGUGAGUAAUGUAUGUGGACUGUCCGCUAGAGGGGGAUAACCACUGGAAACGGUAUCUAAUAUCCCACACUAUCGCAUUACCCACAUGUGUUUAGCGAGUAGGUGAGGUAAUGGCUCACCUAGGCGACGAUCCCUCGCUGGUCUGAGAGGAUGAUCAGCCAAACUGGGAAUGAGACACGGCCCAGACUCCUACGGAGGCAGCAGUGGGGAAUAUUGCACAAUGGGCGCAAGCCUGAUGCAGCCAUGCCGCGUGUAUGAAGAAGGCCCGAGGGUUGUAAAGUACUUUCAGUCGGGAGGCGUUACCGACAGAAGAAGCACCGGCUAACUCCGUGCCAGCAGCCGCGGUAAUUC